rnacentral:rRNA from 1 species
UACGGGGGGAGCAAGCGUUGUUCGGAUUUACUGGGCGUAAAGGGCGCGUAGGCGGUCAGCACAAGUCAAUUGUGAAAUCUCCGGGCUUAACUCGGAAAGGUCAACUGAUACUGCGGGGCUAGAGUGCGGAAGGGGCAACUGGAAUUCUCGGUGUAGCGGUGAAAUGCGUAGAUAUCGAGGAGGAACACCGGUGGCGAAGGCGGU